rnacentral:rRNA from 1 species
AUGACUUGUCUCCAUCAUAUUCUGAAGGCGGUUUUCAAAGGGGACGAGGUGAUGUGCCUCAAUGCCAAACCGAAAAGGGAAUGUGAAGCAGGACUAGAGGCAGUACGAGUCAUGGAAAUGAUGAUGAGGAUGACUACUAUGGCAAUGGGGGAUAUGAUAACCAUGGCGAGGGUGAUCUGUAUGGUGAUGAGCACUAUGAUCACUAUGGCGAUGGGGAAUAUGACGACUAUGGAGAUGAGGAUGGCUAUGGCUAUGGCUAUGGCAAUGGCGAUGAUGAUUGGCUAUAAAAAUCUAAUGAUCUUCAAGUCAUGCCAAAAUGAAGUUAUGUUAGAUAUUUGA